rnacentral:rRNA from 1 species
GAUGAACGCUGGCGGCGUGCCUAAUACAUGCAAGUCGAGCGAACGGACGAGAAGCUUGCUUCUCUGAUGUUAGCGGCGGACGGGUGAGUAACACGUGGAUAACCUACCUAUAAGACUGGGAUAACUUCGGGAAACCGGAGCUAAUACCGGAUAAUAUUUUGAACCGCAUGGUUCAAAAGUGAAAGACGGUCUUGCUGUCACUUAUAGAUGGAUCCGCGCUGCAUUAGCUAGUUGGUAAGGUAACGGCUUACCAAGGCAACGAUGCAUAGCCGACCUGAGAGGACGACACGCCACAGUGGGACGGAGACACGGACCAGACGCCUACGGGAGGCAGCAGUGGGGAAGUGUGGACAAUGGGCGCAAGCCUUACACAGCAAUGACGAGGGCGGGAAGAAGGUCUUAGGGGGGUAAAACGCUUUGGUACGGAAAGAACAGACGCGGGCUAAUAACUGGGGCGGAUGACGGUAACUGAAGAAUAAGCACCGGCGAACUACGGG